AUAGCUCAGUAACACGUGGCCAAACUACCCUACAGACCGCAAUAACCUCGGGAAACUGAGGCCAAUAGCGGAUACAACUCUCGUGCUGGAGUGCUGAGAGUUGGAAACGUUCCGGCGCUGUAGGAUGUGGCUGCGGCCGAUUAGGUAGAUGGUGGGGUAACGGCCCACCAUGCCGAUAAUCGGUACAGGUUGUGAGAGCAAGAGCCUGGAGACGGUAUCUGAGACAAGAUACCGGGCCCUACGGGGCGCAGCAGGCGCGAAACCUUUACACUGCACGACAGUGCGAUAGGGGGACUCCGAGUGUGAGGGCAUAUAGCCCUCGCUUUUCUGUACCGUAAGGUGGUACAGGAACAAGGACUGGGCAAGACCGGUGCCAGCCGCCGCGGUAAUACCGGCAGUCCAAGUGAUGGCCGAUAUUAUUGGGCCUAAAGCGUCCGUAGCUUGCUGUGUAAGUCCAUUGGGAAAUCGACCAGCUCAACUGGUCGGCGUCCGGUGGAAACUACACAGCUUGGGGCCGAGAGACUCAACGGGUACGUCCGGGGUAGGAGUGAAAUCCUGUAAUCCUGGACGGACCACCAAUGGGGAAACCACGUUGAGAGACCGGACCCGACAGUGAGGGACGAAAGCCA
rnacentral:rRNA from 1 species